AUCUGGCAAAGAAGUCUUCUGUCUGAAAAAGACUUAGUUAAUUUUCAAUCAACUUUUUCUUAGGAGCUAAGAAGUGAAAGCUUGAACUUGACUAUCAAGGAACACACCAGUUGUUAAUGGGGCCCCCAGGAGGAAGUCAACAAGCUCCACCACAUCUAACAAUACCUACUGAUGGCAGCCUUUCCCCCAGUCAAGCAGCUCUACACCUAGCUCUCCUGCUUUCCACCUGGGGGUGCAGGGGGAUGAGUGGACACCAAGAGGAAAUUAUUUCACUUCCUUCCCAGAGGAUUGACACAUAUGUACUUCAUGCCUUUGAUCUCAUUAUUACCAUUACUGGGACUUGUCUUUGGAAGCACCCAGCUGACGUGACCUUGGAAGACACUGGCAAAGAAAGCACGGAAUAGGAGAACACUCUAGGUUCCUUGUAAACAUUAAAGUGCUUUUGAGGAAGUUCUUCUGUACUCAUCCUGGGUUAGGGGAAAUUGAAAUGAGAGCAUGGGAGAGAGGAAAAACCACAUCAUGUUUCAGGAUUCACAAGAAACGUCAUCUGCCCUGGUGGAAACAGCACGUCGGUCAGUCACUAGUAACCCAUGGAGCACUGAAUGUCUGACAUCAGAGUAUUUUUAACUUAGGAAGGUCAGUUUCAUCGAAGAGGUGACUGGGGUGAUAACCCAAAUAUGUAAAGUCCGUAUGCUAAACACGACGGCAGGAAACCAGAAACUGGUAGGCACACUCCUGCUCUCAGAGAGAACAAAGUUAGCAGGGGCCCCUUAAGACUGACAGCGCCGGGAAAACAGAAGAGACGGGUUUGUUUCUUGUUUUUUAAAGAGCAGGCAACCUCAAACUUACUACUCAUGACUGUGUUUCAUUUCAGUCAACCCCCGUGGUUUUGUUUCUUAUGCUCCGUAAAGCGUGAGCCUUUUUGGUCAUUUUUGACAGAUUUUCCAGCACUAAAAAUAUCAGGGGCUUAACUGACAAAUCAUGGGUAUUUUUGACGAGACUUUCUAUUAGUCCUGGGAAAUUCUUUCUACCUGCUUAAAGAAGAAGAAGAAAAAAAGACACCUGAGAGGGACAAGCGCUCUUUCAGUGGUUGACUUAAGGUUUCUGUCUUCUUUUAACCAUCUACCUCUGCCCUUACUUAUAUAGACAGAAAGUGGCAUCUGAUUCAUUACAGCAGUAUUUUUACAUGUGCUGAUAUUAAUUAAUCAAUUAGCAGUUAAUAAUUCCCUGUUUUUCUGCGAUUAUUCACACACUAAAAAGGUAUCUGAGGAUGAAAUACUUAACCUGUUUUUCACUAAAAAUUAACUCAAUAAUCUCCUAUUGCUUUCAAGGGCAUUUAUUGGCCCCAGUUAGGCGUAAGCUCAGCUUGCUGAUGUGAAAACUGAGUGGAACGUGGUUAUGUAACUUGAUGAUGUUCUCACAGCUAGGAAGUGGUAAUCUUCCUUCUAACCACUUGACUCUCAAUUUACUUUCACAGGCUUGUGUUCAGUCAACAAGCACUUGCCGAGUGGUACCCUUGGGCCUGGUGUGGUGGGCAACACUGAGGACCCAGAUCCUGUCUCUGCCUUCAUGGAGGGCACAGUUGAGAGAAUCCACACAAAUAUUUGCUUAUAAAAUGAGAUAAAUGCUUGCUGUUCUGGAGCCCUACCUUCCAUCAUUUUAUUAGAGCACAUGCCAGUUCAUCUAUGCCUGUGUGGGUGCUAAGUCGCUUCAGUCGUGUCUAACUGUGACCCUAUGAACCAUGGCCUACCUGGUUCCUCUAUCCAUGGGGUUCUCCAGGCAGGAAUACUGGAGCGGGGUGCCAUUCCCUUCUCCAGGGGAUCUUCCUGACCCAGGAAUCGAACCUGUGGCUGUUAUGUCUCCUGCACUGGCAGGUGGGUUCUUUACUAGUAGUGCCACCUGGGAAGCCCACCAGAGUUUCCCACUGAAAAAAGUCUGUCUUUGAUUCAUCUCCUAAUCAGCUGGUACCACUGCCUUCUUUGCAUUUGAACUAGAGUUCCCUUAACUCAGUUAUUUGGUAAGGAGGGAGAGUGAUCCAGGGGAGCUCAGAUGAAUUACUGAGCCAAGUCUCUGUCUCUAAACCUGUUAAAGCUUUGGCUCUAGUGGUCUGAGGCUCAGGAAGAAGCUUAAUGAAUCAAAGGAGACCCUUGGAAGUCUGCUGGCUAUUCUGUUUCUUAAUUCAAAAUCAACAAGAUAGCAUGGAAUCACCCAUGGGAUUUGGAGUCAGUCUUAAGUUCAAAAUCCAUGCUAUGCUAUUUACAACAUGCAUGAUCUUGUGUUAAUAAAUCUACUUCUGCUUUAGUUUUUGAAACUGUA
ensembl:lncRNA